rnacentral:piRNA from 1 species
ACCUUUGGAUAUAGUGUACGGCCGA